rnacentral:rRNA from 1 species
UACGAGUGCCCCAAGCGUUGUCCGGAAUCACUGGGCGUAAAGGGUCCGUAGGCGGCAUUGUUAGUCCUCUGUUAAAUCGUCUUGCUCAACAAGACGUCCGCGGGGGAAACGGCAAUGCUCGAGAACACAAGAGGUGUACGGAACUCACGGUGUAGGGGUGAAAUCCGUUGAUAUCGUGGGGAACACCAAAGGCGAAGGCAGUACGACUGGUGUGUUUCUGACGCUGAGGGACGAAAGCGUGGGUAGCGAAUGGG